GCUCCAAAUCAGUUUUAAGUUAACAUGCAAAGAGAAUUUUGGCUACUUUUUGUUUGGAGUCAAAUAUAAAACUAAACAACAUGUGCCCAGAUUUCCUACCAUGGAUUUGCAAAAGAUAUUUUGAAACCUUUUUUGGCAAAAAUCAUAUUCCGUUAUGAAUCAGUGUUGCACUGUAAACAGAGUGUUUAGAAAUUUGGGUUUGAGAAGUGUAACGGCUAGUUUCCUUAAAAAAAAAAAAAGAUUCAAAUGCUUGGUUUGCAGCUGGAGCUUUUUGUAAAUUAAUCAAAUUGAGUGCAGUGGGAGGGGUGAUUCAUUAAGUAGAGAGCUAGUGAAGACAUAUCCUGUGAAAGGCAGUGGGCUAAGUGGUAGGGGGAGAAGGAAGAUACAGAGUGCUUUCAAAAGUGCCUAAAUGUAAGUCAACAGGGCAGUGUGCCAAUUACAAUGUUAUAAUGUUCUACAGAAGAGGGAUGUACACCAAGAAUGCCAGCCUGGACCUCUGGUGUGUCUUGGAAGACUUAACCAGGAAGGGGACGAUUCGUUUCUAUUUGACCCAAGACUGAUGCUGCAUGGUGAAGGAGAGGAACUGCGUUCCAGGCAGAGGAAGUCCAGAUGCGCAAGAGCAGAGAUGGGAGGGACAGCACAGUGGCUUCUCAGAAUUGAAUAUGGUGUUAGACUUCUAAAAGAGCUGUGGUAGAGGGAGAAAACUGUCAAAGGAAAUCAGUAACUGUUAAAGGAAAAUACCUUAAACGUCCUGUUUUCAGGCUGACUAAUGCCUUAGGGGAGCAAAUGAGCAACAGAAACGAUACGAGCAACUGCUGUUCUUUCAAAAUACCCAGGCAGAGGAACCGGCAGACGAUGGGCAGCAUCGAACAAACAACUGAGAUCCUGUUGUGCCUGUCACCUGUUGAAGUUGCCAGUCUUAAGGAAGGAAUCAAUUUCUUUCGCAAUAAGAGCACUGGCAAAGACUACAUCUUGUACAAGAAUAAGAGCCGACUGAGGGCAUGCAAGAAUAUGUGCAAGCACCAAGGAGGCCUGUUCAUAAAAGAUAUCGAGGAUUUAGCCGGAAGGUCUGUUAGAUGCACAAAGCACAACUGGAAAUUAGAUGUGAGCACCAUGAAGUAUAUCAACCCUCCGGAAAGCUUCUGUCAAGAUGAGCUGGUUGUUGAAAUGGAUGAAAACAACAGAAUUUUACUUUUAGAACUGAAUCCUCCUAACCCUUGGGACUUACAGCCCAGAUCUCCUGAAGAGUUGGCUUUUGGAGAAGUCCAGAUAACAUAUCUCACUCAUGCCUGCAUGGACCUCAAGUUAGGAGACAAGAGAAUGGUGUUUGACCCUUGGUUAAUCGGUCCUGCUUUUGCCCGUGGAUGGUGGUUGCUCCAUGAGCCUCCAUCUGAUUGGCUGGAGAGGCUGUGCCAGGCAGACCUCAUUUACAUCAGUCAUCUGCACUCAGACCACCUGAGUUACCCCACACUGAAAAAGCUUGCUGGGAGAAGACCAGAUAUUCCCAUUUAUGUUGGAAACACAGAAAGGCCUGUAUUUUGGAAUCUGAAUCAGAGCGGUGUCCAGUUGACUAAUAUCAAUGUCGUGCCAUUUGGAAUAUGGCAGCAGGUGGACAAAAAUCUUCGAUUCAUGAUCUUGAUGGACGGUGUUCAUCCUGAGAUGGACACUUGCAUUAUUGUGGAGUACAAAGGUCAUAAAAUACUCAAUACAGUAGACUGCACCAGACCCAAUGGGGGAAGGCUGCCUAUGAAGGUUGCUCUAAUGAUGAGUGAUUUUGCUGGAGGAGCAUCAGGCUUUCCAAUGACUUUCAGUGGUGGAAAAUUUACGGAGGAAUGGAAAGCCCAAUUCAUUAAAACAGAAAGGAAGAAGCUCCUGAACUACAAGGCUCGGCUGGUGAAGAACCUGCAACCCCGAAUUUAUUGUCCCUUUGCUGGGUAUUUUGUGGAAUCUCACCCAUCAGACAAGUACAUCAAGGAAACAAACACCAAAAAUGACCCAAAUGAACUCAACAAUCUUAUCAAGAAAAACUCUGAUGUGAUAACAUGGACCCCUCGACCGGGAGCCACCCUUGAUCUGGGAAGAAUGCUGAAGGAUCCAACAGACAGCAAGGGCAUCAUAGAGCCUCCAGAGGGGACAAAAAUUUACAAGGAUUCCUGGGAUUUUGAACCUUAUUUGGAAAUCUUGAAUGCUGCUGUAGGAGAUGAAAUAUUUCUUCACUCAUCCUGGAUAAAAGAAUACUUCACUUGGGCUGGAUUUAAAGAUUACAACCUUGUGGUCAGGAUGAUUGAGACAGAUGAGGACUUCAAUCCUUUUCCUGGAGGAUAUGACUAUUUGGUUGACUUUUUAGAUUUAUCCUUCCCAAAAGAAAGACCACAACGAGAACAUCCCUAUGAGGAAAUCCAUAGCCGGGUGGAUGUCAUCAGACACGUGGUGAAGAAUGGUCUACUCUGGGACGAGUUGUAUAUAGGAUUCCAAACACGGCUCCAGCGGGAUCCUGACAUAUACCAUCACCUCUUAAGAAUCGGAAGCUGUGUAAAAUAAAAAGGAAGUAACCCCACCAAGCACCUCUCAUGAAACCCUGUUUCCUGCCCUUCCCUCCACCCACUCUUAUGGUUUUGGAAUCAUUUUCAAAUAAAACUCCCCCUCACGCCACCCAACUGGAAGUCAUUCCUGAUGUGCUGUGAGCAGAAUGGGCCUGGGAUUUUGCAAGAAUGCAAAACCACAUGAAAAUUUCAAGAAUUCACUGAUCUGAUGCAAAAUAAAAAUUUAUCAUUACAGCUUGAACCCAGGAAGCUUACAGCAAAGAGACUAUGCUUUAUGACAUCAGCAAUAGAUAAUUCCACGUUGCCUUUGUGAUUUGUAUAUAUAGCUUACAUUUGUGGAUCACUACAUAGCCAGAUUCAAAAAUAUUUUACUUGUUCCAUCCACAGUUCUCUACAGAAAGAACCAAUGAACCCAAUAGGAACAAAUUCUCUGUGGAAAACAAAGCAUAACUGUAGUAGAUACGAAUCCAAUCACAGAGGAAACAGGAAGAGAAAAACAUCCAAGACUACAGUGAAAACUGGAAAUGGUCUGUUUUCGUGAUAUUCGUAUGAUUAAGAUGCAAAUUUUUUCUUAGGAAAAUGUGAUUGUUAACUAGGAUUCUGUUUUAGAUGUUGACAUUUCUAACACACACACCACUGAUUUGAACUUCAAAAUUUAUUUUCUGAUUAUAUAUGCUAGGUCUGAUUCUGAAGAUACAAGAAUUCAAUGGUGGAAUUUGUCUCCUGAAAUUUCUAGAUUCAUAAUUAGAAGUGUUUAUUACCAACUUCUCGCUUAGAUUAACAUCAAUGAUGUUUGAUUAUUCUGGUUAACUGCUCACAUGCAUAACAAUAAUGCUAGAAAUUCAGGAAUUAUAAUUUUGUGAUUUAUACUGUGUGGUAAAUGAUUCAGUUCUCACUGCAAAUAAAUAUAAUGUAUAUCAAUGUAAUGUAGGUCAGAAUGUCUAUGGUGAGCAAAUAAAAGAUUAUUUUAAAAUAUGAA